CAGUCGCCGCGGUAAUACGAAGGGUGCAAGCGUUAAUCGGAAUUACUGGGCGUAAAGCGUGCGUAGGCGGUUUGUUAAGUCUGCUGUGAAAUCCCCGGGCUCAACCUGGGAAUGGCAGUGGAUACUGGUAAGCUAGAGUGUGUCAGAGGAUGGUGGAAUUCCCGGUGUAGCGGUGAAAUGCGUAGAGAUCGGGAGGAACAUCAGUGGCGAAGGCGGCCAUCUGGGACAACACUGACGCUGAGGCACGAAAGCGUGGGGAGCAAACAGGAUUAGAUACCCCUGUAGUCCCUGUCUCUUAUAA
rnacentral:rRNA from 1 species